GACGAACCGUGCGAACGUUGUUCGGAAUCACUGGGCUUAAAGGGCGCGUAGGCGGGCUGACAAGUCUGGGGUGAAAUCCCUCGGCUCAACUGAGGUACGUCGAUCGAUACUGCCGUUCUUGAGGGUUGCAGAGGAGACUGGAAUUCCCGGUGUAGCGGUGAAAUGUGUAGAGAUCGGGAGGAACACCGGUGGCGAAGGCGGGUCUCUGGGCAACUCCUGACGCUGAGGAACGAAAGCGUGGGGAGCGAACAGG
rnacentral:rRNA from 1 species